ensembl:lncRNA
AGGGACUUGAAAUUUGGCUUUGGGACCGAUCUGGGACUUUCAAUGCCUUCAAACUCCCUGGUUUUGGCCAAGUCAGGUGCUUCUGCAGAUGUGCUGAGGAGGUUUGCCCUGAAGUUUGUUUGGAAUUUGUGCAUCCCUUCAGGCUUCAGGAAGGAAGGAAGGAGGAUUCCUCCCUCCCAGGGCAGGUUGGCAGCCUGAUCUGCCAGAAUCCACCUGUGCUCAGCACAGCACGAGUCUAGAGCAUCUGCUCAGACAGAAUGGACCUUGUUAAACCCAGCUGCCAGGAGAAGGUGGAAUGGAAAGUGGGAGUUACUGUCCCUGCUCAUCGCAGGGGAUUGGACUAAAUGACCUUUAAAGGUCUCUCCCAAGCCAAACUAUUCUAUGAUUUUUCUUGGACUCUCCAUCUCAGGAGCAAGGUGGCAGCAGAAAGGGUGUGAACUUGAUAUUCUCAGCUGGAAGAAAGCCAAGAGGAUGAUUCCUCAGGAAAGCCACGGGAAUGGACACGAUGGAGCUUCACGCCGUGUCCUACAGGGGCUGGCAUAGCUGUCACUGCACAGAGCCGGAGCAGGAGGGGUGGUCACUUCUCCAGAGGAGCAGUUCCAUGGCAAACAACAGCAUUUAUUGAUGGAACACCUGAUAAAUGCCAAGUGACCGUGGGGGAGAGGCGUGUGCUCCACACGGACACUUCCAAACCAGAGGCUGCCCUUGGCUGCCUUCCAGCCCGGCUCCAAGCCCAAUGAGUUGGAGGCACAGAUGAUGCCAAAAACUCCCUGGAGCUCCCAGUGCAGAGUUUGUAGUCCCCUUUUCCCCCCUCCCCCUGUCCCCACGCUUGAUGUUGCAUAGCAGCAAAUCCUCCUCUACAAGCCUGGAUUCUAAUUGCACAACAUCUGUUCCCAUAAUGGCCUGCAAGAGCAUUGUUGUCCUCUGUGUUAUUCAGGCCACUACAAGCACCUCUUAUCACAACGCCUUGCCAGAACAUGACACAGAAUCUGUCAAAUUUCAUUUCUUAGUACCUCAAAUCCCUAUGGCUGCUCCCGAGGAGGGACAGAAGAGACAGUCUGCAGGGCUGGAGCAGCUGCAUCUGUGAUUUGAUCUUGGAGAGGGCAGGAGGAGUUUGCCUGAAGGGCUGGGAGUUCACCUGAGGUCUCAGAGUCGUCUGGAGCCUGGGCUGAGCCCAGAACACAGCUGGGAGCUGGAUAAAUUCUGCUUUUGGGCAGCUCUUCAUGCCACAUGGAUCUGUUUAUUCCGCUGCUUCUCUUUCCUGUGACCACAUAGGUGAGAAAGACUUUCCCAGGUCUCUCUCCCUCAAAAUCCGUGUGACCCUCCCAUGCCAAAUUCUCCCGAGGAGAAGAACAGAGCCACCAAAACAAAGAUAAACCAGUUUGAUGAAGAUUUCUCCAACAGGCAGCCUCCUCCCCCAAAAUCAGGAUGCACCAAAUAAUGGAGUAAACAAAUACUUAAAAAAAAAGUCCCUCUGUAUAUCCUGAGCAUUUAAAAUGGCUGGGAAAUUCUUUCUUUUUGGGAGUGACCAGUUCAUUGCUUUGCUAAGUAUCUUUCUAAGCCACCUCUUGUCAGAAGAAGAGAAUAAAUGAAAAGAGAGAAAGAGAGAGAGAGAGAGA